CUGGAUGGGAGACCUCGCCGGCUUAACGCUCACCUUGGUGUCUGCAGCACCCUCUGCUUCUCUCCCAGGUGAUGAAACCCAGCAGCUAGAAAUUCACCAUGUCUAUUCUCAAGAUCCGUGCCAGGGAGAUCUUUGACUCUCGUGGGAAUCCCACUGUUGAGGCUGAUUUCUUCACUGCAAAAGGUCUCUUCAGAGCUGCUGUGCCCAGUGGUGCUUCAACUGGUAUCUAUGAGGCCCUAGAGCUCCGGGACAAUGACAAGACUCGCUAUAUGGGGAAGGGUGUCUCAAAGGCUAUUGAGCGCAUCAAUAAAACUAUUGUGCCUGCCCUGGUUAUCGAGACACCCUGAACAUCACAGAACAAGAGAAGAUUGACAAACAUGAUUGAGAUGGAUGGAACAGAAAAUAAAUAUAAUUUUGGUGCGAACGCCAUUCUGGGGGUGUUCCUUGUCAUCUGCAAAGCUGGAGCUAUUGAGAAAGGGGUCCCCCGUACUGCCACAUUGCUCACUUGGCUGACAACUCCAAAGUCAUCCUGCCAGUCCUGGUGUUCAAUGUCGACAAUGGUAGUUCCCAUGCUGGCAACAAGCUGGCCAUGCAGGAGUUCGUGAUCCUCCCAGUGGGUGCCACAAACUUCAGGGAAGCCAUGCGCAUUGGAACAGAGGUUUGCCACAUCCUGAAGAAUGUCAUCAAGGAGAAAUACGGGAAAGAUGCCACCAAUAUGGGGGAUGAAGGCAGGUUUGCUCCCAAAAUCCUGGAGAAUAAAGAAGGCCUGGAGCUGCUGAAGACUGAUUAGGAAAGCUGGCUACACCAGUAAGGUAGUUAUUAGCAUGGACGUAGUGGCCUCCAGUUCUUCAGGUCUGGGAAGUAUGACCCGGACUUCAAGUCUCCCAGUGACCCCAGCAGUUACAUCUCACCUGACCAGCUGGCUGACCUGUACAAGUCCUUCAUCAAGAACUACCCAGUGGUGUCUAUCCAGGAUCCCUUUGACCAGGAUGACUGGGGAGCUUAGCAGAAGUUCAAGGUCAGUGCAGGAAUCCAGGUAGUGGCGGAUGAUCUCGCAGUGACCAGCCCAAAGAGGAUUGCCAAGGCCGCAAAUGAGAAGUCAUGCAACUGCCUCCUGCGCAAAGUGGACCAGGCCUGUGGUUGGGGCAUCGUGGUGUCUCAUCAUUCUGGGGAGACUGAAGAUACCUUCAUUGCUGACCUGGUGGUGGGGCUGUGCACUGGGCAGAUCAAGACUGAUGGCCCUUGCCGAUUGGAGCACUUGGCCAAGUACAACCAGCUCCUCAGAAAUGAGGAGGAGCUGCACAGCAAGGCUAAGUUUGCCGGCAGGAACUUCAGAACGCCCCUGGCCAAGUAAGCUGUGGGCAGGCCAGCCCUUCAGCCCUUCAGUCACCUGUUGGCUACUUAGACUCCUCCCCUCGUGUCAGCUCAGGCAGGUCCAGGCCCCCGACCAACACUCACAGGGGCCCCUGCAAGUAGCUCCCCUUGCCCACUGCUGUGGCGUUCACACUGCUUCCUUAAACCUCUACAGCAGCCAAGCUCCCCGAAGCCCUCUGGGCAGCUCUAGCUUUGCAGUCGUGUAACUGGCCCAAAUCAUUGCUUUUCUCACCUCACUUUCCACCAAGUGUCUGGAGCCAUGUGAGCCUCCAGUGUCACCUCCGGGGUGGCCACAGGCAAGAUCCCCAGUGGUUUUGUGCUCAAAAUAAAAAGCCUCAGUGACCCAUGAG